rnacentral:rRNA from 1 species
UACGUAGGGGGCUAGCGUUAUCCGGAAUUACUGGGCGUAAAGGGUGCGUAGGUGGUUUCUUAAGUCAGAGGUGAAAGGCUACGGCUCAACCGUAGUAAGCCUUUGAAACUGGGAAACUUGAGUGCAGGAGAGGAGAGUGGAAUUCCUAGUGUAGCGGUGAAAUGCGUAGAUAUUAGGAGGAACAGCCAGUUGCGAAGGCGGCUCUCUGGACUGUAACUGACACUGAGGCACGAAAGCGUGGGGAGCAAACAGG